GGGGGCAUAGCUCAGUGGUAGAGCACAUGCUUAGCAUACAUGAGGUCCUGGGUUCAAUCCCCAGCACCUCCA
rnacentral:tRNA from 1 species